UUUGUGUGGUGCUGUAGUCACUUACAUCCUUCUCCCUUCCCCGGAGGCUGAAUCCCUGGCAGCAGAGGGGAGGGAAAGCUCUGGUGAAAUAAAGCCCCAGAUUAAGGAAUAGAAGGAGGAAGUGAGAAGCAGUCAGCAGAAGAAAGGCUGGUUAUUAAAAUGGAUGGAAAAUUUGAGCAUCUGAAAAAAAACUCAGAAGGAUUUGCCGGAUCUGCUGAACUAAUAGAGGGGAUGACUUCUCUCAGCAGCAUUGCCAAGCUUACACCCUGAAAUGAUCAAAGGCACAGCGACACAGUUAUUUAAGAUACCUUCACGUCUGAGAAGAUUUAGCACUUUUAUUUCUUGGCACAGUUCUAAAUCUUCCCUAAAAAAGAUACUUCAGAGUAAAUUAAAAAAAAGCUAAUUUAGUAGCCCUGACAAAGCUGGUACAAAAGAUGACAACAGCUGUGAACUGAUUGAAAAAAUCCCUUUAAAAGCAAAUUGUGCAGACUGUAAUUUGGAAUAUUUACUAGGAUGAGUGAGUCCCUUCUGGUUUUCUCCAUGUGAAAACUCCUAAUGUGUCAGAUUUUUUGUUUUGCUUUGUU